rnacentral:rRNA from 1 species
UACGGAGGUGGCAAGCGUUGCUCGGAGUCACUGGGCGUAAAGGGCGCGUAGGCGGGGAGGUAAGUCGGGUGUGAAAUCCCUCGGCCCAACCGAGGAACUGCCGUCCAAACUGCUUUGCUUGAGACCGGGAGAGGUGAGUGGAAUUCCCAGUGUAGCGGUGAAAUGCGUAGAUAUUGGGAGGAACACCAGUGGCGAAGGCGGCUCACUGGACCGGUACUGACGCUGAUGCGCGAAAGCGUGGGGAGCAAACGGG